rnacentral:lncRNA from 1 species
CUAUAUUCGUUAACCCUACGUACACAAAUAUUAGUAACGCUUCACAUUACAGUGUUUCAAAACAAUUAUUAUAUAAAUCCAAUUUACAAAGUUCUACAGACUGAAAUAUGAGAUUGACUAUUUUGCUAUUAUUUGUCUUCAAGUGUGUGGAAAUCCAAAGUUUGGGUUCUGAAACAAAAACAGGAAGGGGUUUUCAAACAAAAAUAAUACCAGGAAGGG